UACGUAGGGUGCAAGCGUUGUCCGGAAUUAUUGGGCGUAAAGAGCUCGUAGGCGGUCUGUCGCGUCGGCUGUGAAAACCCGGGGCUCAACCCCGGGCCUGCAGUCGAUACGGGCAGACUAGAGUGCGGUAGGGGAGAUCGGAAUUCCUGGUGUAGCGGUGGAAUGCGCAGAUAUCAGGAGGAACACCGGUGGCGAAGGCGGGUCUCUGGGCAGUAACUGACGCUGAGGAGCGAAAGCGUGGGGAGCGAACAGG
rnacentral:rRNA from 1 species